AUAUUGUCGCUCUUUGGAGAAAUC
rnacentral:snRNA from 1 species